UUUCCGUAGGUGAACCUGCGGAAGGAUCAUUAUUGUAUAACCGAGUUUCGAGGGCUUUCUCUGACCCGAACGCUCUUCCACUCCCCUAUCCCCUCCCACCCAUCCAUCUCACCCCCAUGUUCACCCCCGCGUUUCUCCCCCUUUUGCUUGUUCUGUCUUGGGCUUACGUUUUCACACAAACUUUGUAUGCACUGUAGAAUCUAUUUUUUGUUUUUUCGUUCACGCUAUCUAUACAACUUUCAACAACGCAUCUCUUGUCUCUCGCAUCUAUACAGAACC
rnacentral:misc_RNA from 1 species